rnacentral:rRNA from 1 species
UACAGAGGGUGCAAGCGUUAUUCGGAAUUACUGGGCGUAAAGCGCAUGUAGGUGGGUUAUCAAGUCAGAUGUGAAAUCCCUGAGCUCAACUUGGGAAUUGCAUUUGAAACUGAUAGUCUUGAGUGUGGAAGAGGAAAGUGGAAUUCCUGGUGUAGAGGUGAAAUUCGUAGAUAUCAGGAGGAACACCUGAGGCGAAGGCGGCUUUCUGGUCCGCAACUGACACUGAGAUGCGAAAGCGUGGGGAGCAAACAGG